rnacentral:lncRNA from 1 species
UAGUUUUAAUGAUGACUGACCACCACCCACACCCUUCAGGUCUCACUGUCGAUGGGCCUGUCAGUCACAGCUGAUCCACAGUGUGCAAGGCUUCCCUUGCUCAGGAACUUUCAGGGCCACGUCUCUUGCCUGAACCUCUCCCAUAGAAAGCUUGUUGUCCUGUUGCAAAUAGGUGACACAGGAAUGUUCUUCUUGUUUUAAGAGUACAUGAAGAAUUUUCUGGAAAGGAGUGGCUAAGUUCACUGCUGAAGUAGCUACCUCUGAAAAGACUCAAGUAAAAUGUCACUUCAACAGGGAACUUCCUAACUUGACAGGCUCAGUUGGCAAAGGCGUUUGUCAUUGUCAUGCCUGGUGAUCCGAGCUCUGUCCCUUAGACUCGCGUGGGGAAGAGAGAAUCGGCACCCACAGGUCCUCCUCGGAUGUUCACACACACGAAGGAAUGAGUGGACUUUUCUUAUUAGAAAGACACGGUAGACUACACAGAAGCACACUCCUAUAAUUUGCACAUGAGCGAAUCCAUUAGAAGUCGUUGCCAGUUUCACGUGGACUCAGAUACUUUUGUUCAGUUUUGAAACCAUCUCCCUCUAGCCCAGAAUAGCCUACAGCUCACUGUAGCUCAGGCUGGCUUUAGCCUCAAGUGCUGGGAUUCAGGCAUGAUCACACUUGUUUGACCACUUUCCUGUGUAAUUGAAAUCUAUGAUCUUAAAUGCUAGCACCCUGAUAGGUUAUACCCAAAAGAAUGCCAGUGAAGUCAUUCUAGCUCUUAGAC